AUCCAUGAGAAGACACAGUGUUCCAUCCAGAGGAUGUAGCAUCAAGGCGUCAUCUUAAAAGCAGAGAAAAGACUCUUACUUGACACCAGAUGCCAGUGCAUUGAUCUUGGACUUCCCAGCCUCUAGAACUGUAAACAGCCCUGGGACAAAGAACAGACUACGGGUAUUGCCUUCUUAAUCAACAAUAAAGUAUUAGUUGGCUUCCAGGCAGACACCACUGACUUUCAAGAGAAAGGCACGGGAGUAAGGAAGUAAAGAAUUCAGGUGCUGCUUGAAAAUACAACAAACUGUCUUCAGAAUACUUUUAUGUGUUGUUGAAAGAAAGCACUGCAGCUAAUAUAGCUACAAAGGAGAAACAGUUAUUCUUAAAUGUCAUCUAUUUGCUGGACCUGAACAGGAAUUCACUAUGGAGCUCAUACAACUACCACCUUCAGCUAUUAAUCAAGGAGUCAUUCAACUGAGAAAGGGGAGAUUGAGAUGUUGAAUCAUUUCUCAUUCUGUGAAGUCUACCAGAAUAACCCAUAAAGCAAAUAUCAACCUAUUUCAAUUAGAAAAAUGAAAAAUACUGAUACAGCAGACGAAUUCUGGAACUAACACUUCCACAAAUCAUUGAUAAUCCAUUUUCCAACUUCUUCAAAUUCCAGACCAUCAACAAGCUAUUCAAAACAAUAAAUGUUAAUAGUUUUGGUGGAGUUAAGCAGCAGAAGUUAAAAGCAUUGUGGAAGACAGUAUGGUGAUUCCUCAAGGAUCUAGAAGCGGAAAUACCAUUUGACCCAGCAAUCCCAUUAUUGGGAUCUCUGUCGAAGUACAGAUCAGGCAUGACCUCCCAUGGGUGUUCACGGGAAAUGGUGCCACACAUGCGCAGAACUUCCCGAGCCAGCAUCCACCACAUCAAACCCACUGAAUGUACUGUUCCAUCUGGAAGUCAAGAUUGGUGCCACCUAAGUGGGUUCCUGCUGCAAGGAACUUAAGGACAUCCUCCUUCAUUUGCAGGACAUCAAGGGCUCCGGACAUUGUGAAAGUUUCCCUUUAAGUUACGACGGGAAUCCAGAACAACGCCGUAUGGACCCCUCUGCAGGUAGCAAGGAAAAGCGCCAGUAACUUUUAAAGGCUUGUUUUGCAUAUUAUUCAGGCCUAAAUCACGGUUCUCAUAAAUUGAUUAUCAUGUCCCUUUCAUCUGUCCAUUUAUGCUUCUAAAUGGUUCUUAAUGGUUCACUAUAUUUGAAGGCCAUAACCAUUUGCUGAUGAGUUACUAGUUUAAUUUGUCACUAUUUCUCCAAUACAUAUAUGUAAGUGCUUAUCGUCUUUUAAUCCUAGAUAUUCUUCUGGAAGUAAUAAUAAAAGUUGAAAGCUGGAAGGAAAA